rnacentral:SRP_RNA from 1 species
UGCCGGUCCUCCCGCAACAUGAAACCGUGAACCCGGUCAGGUCCGGAAGGAAGCAGCCGUAGCGGUGGACUGUGUGCCGGGAUGUGGCUGGCAGAA